AGAACGAACGCUGGCGGCAUGCCUAAUACAUGCAAGUCGAACGAACACUUCGGUGUUAGUGGCGCACGGGUGUGUAACGCGUGGGAAUCUGCCCUUGGGUUCGGAAUAACAGUUGGAAACGGCUGCUAAUACCGGAUGAUAUCGAAAGAUCAAAGAUUUAUCGCCCGAGGGAUGAGCCCGCGUAGGAUUAGCUAGUUGGUGAGGUAAAGCUCACCAAGGCGACGAUCCUUAGCUGGUCUGAGAGGAUGAUCAGCCACA
rnacentral:rRNA from 1 species